rnacentral:rRNA from 1 species
AGACCCGAAACCCGGUGAUCUAGCCAUGGGCAGGUUGAAGGUUGGGUAACACUAACUGGAGGACCGAACCGACUAAUGUUGAAAAAUUAGCGGAUGACCUGUGGCUGGGGGUGAAAGGCCAAUCAAACCGGGAGAUAGCUGGUUCUCCCCGAAAGCUAUUUAGGUAGCGCCUCGUGAAUUCAUCUCCGGGGGUAGAGCACUGUUUCGGCUAGGGGGCCAUCCCGGCUUACCAACCCGAUGCAAACUGCGAAUACCGGAGAAUGUUAUCACGGGAGACACACGGCGGGUGCUAACGUCCGUCGUGAAGAGGGAAACAACCCAGACCGCCAGCUAAGGUCCCAAAGUCAUGGUUAAGUGGGAAACGAUGUGGGAAGGCCCAGACAGCCAGGAUGUUGGCUUAGAAGCAGCCAUCAUUUAAAGAAAGCGUAAUAGCUCACUGGUCGAGUCGGCCUGCGCGGAAGAUGUAACGGGGCUAAACCAUGCACCGAAGCUGCGGCAGCGACGCUGAUGCGUUGUUGGGUAGGGGAGCGUUCUGUAAGCCUGUGAAGGUGGCCUGUGAGGGUUGCUGGAGGUAUCAGAAGUGCGAAUGCUGACAUAAGUAACGAUAAAGCGGGUGAAAAGCCCGCUCGCCGGAAGACCAAGGGUUCCUGUCCAACGUUAAUCGGGGCAGGGUGAGUCGACCCCUAAGGCGAGGCCGAAAGGCGUAGUCGAUGGGAAACGGGUUAAUAUUCCCGUACUUGGUGUUACUGCGAAGGGGGGACGGAGAAGGCUAUGUUGGCCGGGCGACGGUUGUCCCGGUUUAAGCGUGUAGGUGUGUGUUCCAGGUAAAUCCGGUUCACUUUAAC